rnacentral:rRNA from 1 species
CCCCUAGAUGCUCUGGGCCGCACGCGCGCUACACUGAACAGUUCAACAAGUCUUAACCUUGGCCGAUAGGUCUGGGUAAUCUUUGAACGCUGUUCGUGAUUGGGAUAGACCUUUGCAAUUAUGGGUCUUCAACGAGGAAUUCCUAGUAAACGCAAGUCAUCAGCUUGCAUUGAUUACGUCCCUGCCCUUUGUACACACCGCCCGUCGCACCUACCGAUUGAAUGGUCCGGUGAAAUCUCGGGACGGCGGCUCGGUCGCUUGCGUCCGACUGCUGAAACUUGAUUAAACCAUAUCAUUUAGAGGAAGGUGAANUCGUANCA